UACGUAGGGUGCAAGCGUUUAAUCGGAAUUACUGGGCGUAAAGCGUGCGCAGGCGGUUUUGUAAGUCUGUCGUGAAAUCCCCCGGGCUCAACCUGGGAAUUGCAUUUGUGACUGCACGGCUAGAGUGUGUCAGAGGGGGGUAGAAUUCCACGUGUAGCAGUGAAAAUGCGUAGAGAUGUGGAGGAAUACCGAUGGCGAAGGCAGCCCCCUGGGAUAACACUGACGCUCAUGCACGAAAGCGUGGGGAGCAAACAGG
rnacentral:rRNA from 1 species